rnacentral:tRNA from 1 species
GGGGCUAUAGCUCAGUGGUAGAGCGCUUGCCUAGCAUGCAUGAGGCACUGGGUUUGAUCCUCAGCACUACUU